GAAACUGAUGCUGUAGCUGUCUCAUUCACUGUCAAAGGAAACAAUAAAGUAAUUGGAGCUGUUUCUGCCUGAGUUAUCCUUGGAAUACAGGAGAACAUGACACAAAGUGUGAAGUCCAGAGGACGUCAGUGUCAAGGUUCACAUGAAGAUUAGGUACCACAACUUGCGGUUUGGAAAACCCUGGAUCAACCUUUGCAUGC
rnacentral:lncRNA from 1 species